rnacentral:tRNA from 1 species
GGCUGUGGCUCAGUGGCAGAGCACUUGCCUUGCAUAUGUGAGGUACUAAGUUCAAUCCUCAGCACCA